AAUAUUGAGUGAUGUAUGUUGAUAAUUAACAUUAAUUUUAUACAUGUUUAUGAGCUCAUAAAACUGUUCUUUUAAACUAUAUGAUAUUCAGUAAACCACAAAAACUGAUAUCUUAAUAUUAUGAAAAUACAUUGGGAUGGAAUCUCACAAAGUGGAUCGUGCAAUGUGACAAUUGCUUUGAAACAUGUAACACAUCAAUGUUAAGCUUGAUUUAGCCACUGCAGUAUAAGGAGAGAAGCAGACCAGAAACCCUGACUAAAGUAAAGAUGAUUUGCAUAACAAAGUCAGAUGAAUAAAUCACAAGAGUCCAAAGUUUUGAUGACCAUGCAGAGUCGAGAUAUUGAAACAAAG